GUCAGAACCAACAGAUCUCUAAUAUUCUUUGGUCUGAAAACUGGCAGCAGCUGGUGAUCCAGAGGUCUCAUGGCAGAAUGAAGGAAUUUACCAAAGCUAAGCCCUUGGACACUGGGCCUAUCUAUUUCUUUGAUCAGUUGAAACCUGAAUGGAAAGAUGGGAAAAGAUAACCUGUGAAGAAAGUUAUCCCACCCAAAAUGCACCUCAAGAGCUAAGUAUAGUAAUAAAAAGAAAACAGAGUUAAAAGAACUAAAGAAAGCAAGACUAACUACAGUAGCCGCAUCUAUGAAAGAAGAUGAAUUCCACUCACCAAGCAUCUCACAACCUCCUAGUGUGUCCAAGCUUCCUUCAAAACUUAGAUUCUCCAAAAGAUGCCUGUAAAAAUAACCUAUUUUAAGAAUACGAACUCAUUGCUCCCAAAACACUGUGUGAACCUGGGGAGACAUUGCAGCAAUGCUGAGCUUGACUUUACUUUCCCUGAGGGAAUUGUAAAUCUCAUAAAUAACAGUUGGAAAGAUCUUACUGAAGAUGCUUAUAUGCAUGCAUCCAAAAAUUCAAUGUGGAUGCAAGACCAUGCUCUGCAAGGAGGUUGCAAUUCCAUGACCAUAGUUAACUUACUAGAACACAAAAUGAGCAGGGGUUCAAGAGAAGAAUGUCAUCAGCAAAAUCAUCUAGUUAAAGCAAAAGAAGACCACCAUGUUGCAUCAACUAAAUCUAUGGAAAAAAUAGCUCUUGUCAACCACAACCACAGUUCCCAGAUCUCCCAGGAGAGCAGUUUACCUGUUGUCACCCACUUUUCACUGUCAUCCAAGAUCUGUUUAGAAAAUGGUUGGAUCUUUCAACAUCCUUACUCAAAAUGGGAAAUUUUGAAGUGGAAGACAGUCCCCAGUAUAGCUGUGAAGAGACUACAAGUAGCCAUAAUUCAAAUAAAAAUAGAAGAAGCAAAGCAAAAAAAAAAAGGGCAUCAACAAACAACUUAUCCGGCGCCGCUAUGAGGACCUGGAAGGCGUGGAGGAGAGCAGGGAUCAGCAGUGCUCACAGAGUUUCUGGCUGGAGCUGCUGGAGAAGAAGACCCAGAUGCCAAUUGUCAGAAAGGCUGACCCCAACAUGAAAAAAUUCCAUUACGCUCUGGUGGAUGGCUCCUCUCUGACCUAAUAUC